GCACCACAACGGGUGGAGCCUGCGGUUUAAUUGGACUCAACGCCGGGCAGCUCACCGGAUAAGACAGCUGAAUGAUAGUCGGGCUGAAGACUCUACUUGACUAGCUGAGAGGAGGUGCAUGGCCGUCGUCAGUUCGUACUGUGAAGCAUCCUGUUAAGUCAGGCAACGAGCGAGACCCACGCCAACAGUUGCCAGCUUCGUCCUCCGGGAUGGUGGGGACACUGUUGGGACCGCCUCUGCUAAAGAGGAGGAAGGAAUGGGCAACGGUAGGUCAGCAUGCCCCGAAUUAUCUGGGCUACACGCGGGCUACAAUGGGUGGGACAAUGGGUAUCGACACCGAAAGGUGAAGGCAAUCUCCUAAACCCAUCCGUAGUUCGGAUUGUGGGCUGCAACUCGCCCACAUGAAGCUGGAAUCUGUAGUAAUCGUGUCUCAAAAUGGCACGGUGAAUAUGUCCCUGCUCCUU
rnacentral:rRNA from 1 species